ACCCUACGGGAGGCAGCAGUGAGGGAUAUUGGUCAAUGGGGGAAACCCUGAACCAGCAACGCCGCGUGAGGGAAGACGGUUUUCGGAUUGUAAACCUCUGUCCUCUGUGAAGAUAAUGACGGUACCUGACUAAGAAGCCCCGGCUAACUACGUGCCAGCAGCCGCGGUAAUACGUAGGGGGCAAGCGUUAUCCGGAUUUACUGGGUGUAAAGGGAGCGUAGACGGCAGCGCAAGUCUGGAGUGAAAUGCCGGGGCCCAACCCCGGAACUGCUCUGGAAACUGUGAAGCUGGAGUGCAGGAGAGGG
rnacentral:rRNA from 1 species